GUCUUUUUGAAUAAUAAUUUAAAGUCUAAUCUGCCCACUGAUAUAUAAUUAAAGGGCUGCAGUAUAUUGACUGUACAAAGGUAGCAUAAUCAUUAGUCUUUUAAUUGAAGACUUGUAUGAAAGAUUUGAUGAAAUAUAAACUGUCUCUAAAUUAUUGAUAAAAAUUAAUUUUUUAAUUAAAAAGUUAAAAUAAAAUAAAAAGACGAGAAGACCCUAUAGAGUUUAAUAAUAAUAAUUUUUUUAAUAAAAAUAUUUAAAUAAGAAUAUGAAAAUUUUAUUAUUAUUUUAUUGGGGUGAUAGAAAAAUUAAAUUAACUUUUUUUAAUAAAUUAACAUAAAUAAGUGAUUUUUUGAUCCAUAAAUAUUGAUUAAAAGAAAAAAUUACCUUAGGGAUAACAGCGUAAUUUUUUCUUUUAGUACAAAUAAAAGAAAAAGGUUGCGACCUCGAUGUUGGAUUAAGAUAAAAUUUAAAUGCAAAAGUUUAAAAUUUUGAUCUGUUCGAUCAUUAAAAUCUUACAU
rnacentral:rRNA from 1 species